CAAAGCGGGCCUCUUCUUGAAAGCUCGCGCUUUGAGAUAAGUCUACGUCGGAUUAGCUUGUUGGUAGGGUAAUGGCCUACCAAGGCGACGAUCCGUAGCUGGUUUGAGAGGAUGAUCAGCCACACUGGGACUGAGACACGGCCCAGACUCCUACGGGAGGCAGCAGUGGGGAAUAUUGGACAAUGGGCGCAAGCCUGAUCCAGCAAUGCCGCGUGUGUGAAGAAGGCCUGCGGGUUGUAAAGCACUUUUAUUGGGAAAGAAAAACUUAGGGUUAAUACCCUUGGGUCUUGACGGUACCCAAAGAAUAAGCACCGGCUAACUCAGUGCCAGCAGCCGCGGUAAUACUGAGGGUGCAAGCGUUAAUCGGAAUUACUGGGCGUAAAGCGAGUGUAGGCGGCUUCGUAAGUCGGAUGUGAAAGCCCUGGGCUUAACCUGGGAAUGCCAUUCGAAACUGCGCGGCUAGAGUCUGAUAGAGGGAAGUGGAAUUCCAGGUGUAGCGGUGAAAUGCGUAGAGAUCUGGAGGAACACCAGUGGCGAAGGCGGCUUUCUGGAUCAAGACUGACGCUGAGGCUCGAAAGCGUGGGGAGCAAACAGGAUUAGAUGCCCUGGUAGUCCACGCCCUAAACGAUGUCAACUAGACGUUGGGUUCAUUAAGGAACUUAGUGUCGAAGCUAACGCGUUAAGUUGACCGCCUGGGGAGUACGGCCGCAAGGUUGAAACUCAA
rnacentral:rRNA from 1 species